CGAAAUCGGUAGACGCUACGGACUUAAAUCCGUCGACUUUAGAAAUCGUGAGGGUUCAAGUCC
rnacentral:tRNA from 1 species